UACGAAGGGUGCAAGCGUUACUCGGCAUUACUGGGCGUAAAGCGUGCGUAGGUGGUUUGUUAAGUCUGUUGUGAAAGCCCCGGGCUCAACCUGGGAAUGGCAAUGGAUACUGGCAAGCUAGAGUGCGGUAGAGGGUAGUGGAAUUCCCGGUGUAGCGGUGAAAUGCGUAGAGAUCGGGAGGAACACCAGUGGCGAAGGCGGCUACCUGGACCAGCACUGACACUGAGGCACGAAAGCGUGGGGAGCAAACAGG
rnacentral:rRNA from 1 species